rnacentral:rRNA from 2 species
UACGGAGGGUGCGAGCGUUGUCCGGAAUCACUGGGCGUAAAGGGCGCGUAGGUGGCUGGUCAAGUGCGCGGUGAAAGCCCGGGGCUCAACCCCGGGUCGGCCGUGCAGACUGGGCAGCUUGAGCACUGUAGGGGCGGGUGGAAUUCCGGGUGUAGCGGUGGAAUGCGUAGAGAUCCGGAAGAACACCGGUGGCGAAGGCGGCCCGCUGGGCAGGAAGACGUCGUAAGACGUCGGCUGACACUGAGGCGCGACAGCGUGGGGAGCAAACAGG